AGUGAACGCUGGCGGUAGGCCUAACACAUGCAAGUCGAACGGCAGCACAGUAAGAGCUUGCUCUUACGGGUGGCGAGUGGCGGACGGGUGAGGAAUACAUCGGAAUCUACUUUUUCGUGGGGGAUAACGUAGGGAAACUUACGCUAAUACCGCAUACGACCUACGGGUGAAAGCAGGGGAUCUUCGGACCUUGCGCGAUUGAAUGAGCCGAUGUCGGAUUAGCUAGUUGGCGGGGUAAAGGCCCACCAAGGCGACGAUCCGUAGCUGGUCUGAGAGGAUGAUAAGCCACACUGGAACUGAGACACGGUCCAGACUCCUACGGGAGGCAGCAGUGGGGAAUAUUGGACAAAGGGCGCAAGCCUGAUCCAGCCAUACCGCGUGAGUGAAGAAGGCCUUCGGGUUGUAAAGCCCUUUUGUUGGGAAAGAAAAGCAGCAGGUUAAUACCCCGCUGUUAUGACGGUACCCAAAGAAUAAGCACCGGCUAACUUCGUG
rnacentral:rRNA from 1 species